rnacentral:rRNA from 1 species
GACGAACGCUGGCGGCGUGCUUAACACAUGCAAGUCGAACGGCAAGGCCCUGCUUUUGUGCUGUGCUCGAGUGGCGAACGGGUGCGUAACACGUGAGUAACCUGCCCUUGACUUUGGUAUAACUUCAGGAAACUGGGGCUAAUCCCGGAUAGGAGCUCCUGCUGCAUGGUGGGGGUUGGAACGUUUCGGCGGGUGGGGAUGGACUCGCGGCUUAUCAGCUUGUUGGUGGGGUAGUGGCUUACCAAGGCUUUGACGGGUAGCCGGCCUGAGAGGGUGACCGGCGACAUGGGGACUGAGAGACGGAGCAGACGGGUAUGGGAGGCAGCAGGGGGGAAUAUGGCACAGUGGGAGGAAGUCGGAGGAAGAAGCGCCGCGGGCGGGAUGACGGUUUGUGGGGUGAAAAACGCUGUAGCCUGUGACGAAGCGGGAGUGACGGUAAUGGGUAAAGAAGCACCGGCUAACUACGUG